rnacentral:ncRNA from 1 species
UGAAAAACAUUGAUAGAGAAGAGUAACUUUCAAAAUCGCCAUAUAGGGAGAGAAUGCCUUAGACUGAAAGCAUUCUUAUGGUAGACGGAAGUGAAUUCACCUCUGGAGUUGACGCCAGGACCAUGUAUAUGUAAAGGCGUUCCGGUCAGAAUUGAUCGUUAUAACUAAUGAAGUGGACAGACUUGUUCUGUCAAUUUAGGGUGGUACCGCGAAUUUACCUCGUCCCUUUU